GACGAACGCUGGCGGCGUGCCUAAUACAUGCAAGUAGAACGCUGAAGUCUGGUGCUUGCACUAGACGGAUGAGUUGCGAACGGGUGAGUAACGCGUAGGUAACCUGCCUCAUAGCGGGGGAUAACUAUUGGAAACGAUAGCUAAUACCGCAUAACAGUAUUUACCGCAUGGUAGAUAUUUGAAAGGAGCAAUUGCUUCACUAUGAGAUGGCCUCGCGUCCGAUUAGCUAGUUGGCGAGAUAACAGCCCACCAAGCCGACGAUCGGUAGCCGGACUGAGAGGUUGAUCGGCCACAUUGGGACUGAGACACGGCCCAG
rnacentral:rRNA from 1 species